GACGAACCGAGCGAACGUUGUUCGGAUUCAUUGGGCGUAAAGGGUGCGUAGGCGGCGCGGUAAGUCGGGUGUGAAAUCUCGGAGCUUAACUCCGAAACUGCAUUCGAUACUGCCGUGCUUGAGGACUGGAGAGGAGACUGGAAUUUACGGUGUAGCGGUGAAAUGCGUAGAUAUCCGGAGGAACACCGGUGGCGAAGGCGGCUUCCUGGACCGACACUGACGCUGAGGCGCGAAAGCUAGGGGAGCAAACGGG
rnacentral:rRNA from 1 species